UACAGAGACUGCGAGCGUUAUUCGGAUUCACUGGGCGUAAAGGGUGCGCAGGCGGCCGAGUGUGUGAGGCGUGAAAGCCCGGGGCUUAACCCCGGAAUUGCACCUCAAACUACACGGCUAGAGCAUUGGAGAGGGUAGCAGAAUUCAUGGUGUAGCAGUGAAAUGCGUAGAUAUCAUGAGGAAUACCAGAGGCGAAGGCGGCUACCCUGGACAAUUGCUGACGCUCAGGCACGAAAGCGUGGGGAGCAAAAGGG
rnacentral:rRNA from 1 species